GUUAGUUGUUGCUACUCCCUUGAGAAGGAAACUGCUGCCCGAUUGCGGUAAAAACGUAACAGCUUAUUGUGUCACGGUUUUGCUGAAAGAUGAAAGGUCUAGGAAGAUUGUAAAAUCUUAUCCGAGGAAAUAAUGAACAUUCAAUUAAGUUAGAGAAAUGAAAAGAUCAUACCGAUUCUCGAAAUACAAAUGAAUUAAACAAUCAAUUUAUUUUCUAGCAUUAAUGAGGAAAAAAGACCACUGAAUAAAGAAAAAUGAAAAAAAAAAUACAAAUCAGUUAAAAAAUGCAGGACAGUCCUACCAAUCGAAACCAUCACAAAAAAACUGCGCCGUCUCGUCAACUAAAAGAGAAUCCUGCAAGGAAACCUGCAUUUUCAAGUGUCAAUUUUUUUUCCGAAGAACAACACUGUGAAAUACUGAAAGAUUACUGGAAUUUAGGAGAGCUCAAGAAGCUGUCUCGAAACAAGAACCUGUGAUUUGUUUUGAUAAUAUGUUUAUUUGAUUUAUGUAUGACCGGGACCCGCAAUAAAGAUUAGUUUCCUAA